AUGACCGCCAUGGUUCGUUUCGUCUUCGUCGUGUUAUUUACAGCCACUGUUUUCCAACAUGUGGUGUCCAUGUCAGUGCCAGAAAUAUAUGAAAAUUACCCGUGUGCUGGAGGUCUGCAAAGUCUAACGUCUGAGCAUGCAAGACUGGCCGAGGACUGUGAACAGAUUUGGAGUAUUGGGAGCAGCCCCAUAGGAAGAAUCUGGAACGGAAGUGCUGAGUGCCACAGACCAUGCAGUCAGGUGACUGUGGGUGAAAUUGUUGUCAGCAAGUGCGUCAAUAUCACACUGACCAUUUUAUGUGUGGAGGAUUAUAUGACUGAAUAUCGGAUUCAUUUUAAAGGCAUCAACCCUUCGCCACAAAUUCAGCCCAAGAACAGAGCACGCUAUGGUAAUAUUGAACUGUCAAAUACAGUGCUAUUUAAAAACUUCAUAAGUUGCUUAUAUCCUGCUGAAAAAUCAAAAUUCAGAAAAGUGGCUGGAUUUCAUUCGUUUAGUAGGCAAAACGAAUUUGAGAAAGACAGGACAAAUAAUCAAAUCUGAACAUUUUUAUUUUUGUUGAGAAAGCAUAAAAUUUUUUAAGGGUUUGGGUUUCAUAUAUUUACACAUAGAGGGCUGACAUAUCUGAUGUUGUGUAAUCAUCAGGUUUCUAUGCAAGUGUUGCUGUCCUUGGUACCCUGCUUUCAGUGGCUUUGGUGGGACUGUUCCACUGCUACAGAUCUCACCACCAUGGCUCCAGAAACACCGAAGUGAUUCAACUUUAAUUAUACAAUGUUAGCCUACACACUAUGUUAAUAUGCAUAAAAAAUACCUUUAUUUAUUUAUUUAUAUAUAUAUAUGUAUAUGUAUGUAUAUGUAUAUAUAUGUAUAAUAUAUAUAAGUAUAUAUAUAUAUUAGGGGUGGCAACUGGUGUAAAAGUAGAGGAGGCAGUGGAUAGGGCAAGGUGGAGGCAGAGCGGUUGGUUUUGUGGUACGUUAAAUCUGAACGAGAGAAAGUGGAACGGGAAAAUUCGAACGAGAAGCAACUUCAGCCUCGUAAAACAGCCGAACAACAAGAGACAUUUUACAAGAAGCUGCUCUACUUCUGAGAGGGAAAGGGGAGGAAAGCGGCUAUAGGUAAAGCUUAAAUCAGAGCAAAGUAAAUCCGUGUUUUCGUUUAUAUUUUUUAGCCUAUAGUAGCACAUUCGAACACACUCAGACAUACUGGGCAUUAAAUGUCUCCCGGUGUGGCUUGAUUUUUGUUUAAAGGACAAAACAUUUAGGCUGUGACUCCUGACUGAACCUGGCUUUAAUGCAGAGCCAGUCAGAUUUCUCACUCAUCCAGCUGUGUUCUUGUUAUGUGCCGUCACAGACUGUCCAGGUGCUGCACUUAUCCACUUCCAACUUCUGCCUUUUACAUUCCGUCAACACUACGGUAUAAAUUAAAUAUUUAGAAAAUCGGUUUUUGACAUUUAUGAAUCGAUUCAGAAUCGUUCACAUCCGCUUUGCGAUGCAUCGAAGAAUCGAGUUUUUCUUGCAUCCUUUUAUAUAUGUGUAUAUAUAUAUAUAGUCCAUUUUAUGAGCUCCACUUACUAUAUAGGUGCACUUUGUAGUUCUACAGUUACAGACUGUAGUCCAUCUGUCUGUCUGCACACUUUACUAGCUCCUUUUCACGCUGUUCUUCAGUGGUAAGGACCCCCAGAUGACCACCACAAAGCAAGUAUUAUUUGGGUGGUGGAUCACUCUCAGCACUGCAAUGACACAGACAUGGCGGUGGUGUGUUAGUGCAGCAGUGCUGCUGGAGUUUUUAAACAACUCAAUUUAUAGUCCACCAGCCAAAAAUAUCCAGCAAACAGUGCCCUGUGGGCAGUGUCCUGUGACCACUGAUGAAGGACUAGAAGAUGAGCAACAGAAACUGUGCAGCAGCAGAUGUGCUAUCGUCUCUGACUUUACAUCUACAAGGUGGACUGACAAGGUAGGUGUGUGUAAUAGAGUGGACAGUGAGUGGACAUUUUGUGUAUGUUUGAUUUUAUAGAAAAACUAAAUAAUACAUUUGAAGCUGUGGAAGCAUCAUAUAAUAUAAUAUAUAAAAGUAUAGUAUAAAUUUAAAAUAAAAGAUUCAAUAUAAAUAAAAUUAAAUGAAAUAUAGAAAUACUUAUGGAUGCU
ensembl:lncRNA